GCCCAGUUAGCUUAGUUGGUAGCGCGUCUGCCUUGUAAGCGCGCUGCGGGUUCGAUUCCCGCCCGGAGCG
rfam:Asian citrus Psyllid, Diaphorina citri - Florida Strain, whole genome shotgun sequence.